AACAGAUGACGCCGUUGACUUUUUCUCACGUGAUUGACCAUUCAUCUUAUUCAAAAAAUUUAUGUAAUUAUAAUUUAUUUUGUUAUGAGUUGUUUUAUCACUCAUAUUACUUUAAGUGUGAUUUAUAUAUUAUACAUUUGCACAAAAUUUUUGAAUAAGACGAAUGGUUAAACAUGUGAGAAAAAGUCAAUGUCGUCAUCUAUU
rnacentral:pre_miRNA from 1 species